UUGCUGCCACGAUCCACUGGGAUCCAGCCCCGCGUCGCACGGAUUCGU
rnacentral:rRNA from 1 species